CGCCGGAUGCCGCCGAGUCGCACCCACUCCGUGGGCGCGAGCCGGGGACCCACCUGCACCACCGGGGUGAGUCCCGCCCCCGGACACCUCCGGGGGCGGGUAGGGCACUCCCAGCCCGAACCCGUCAGCUCACCUGGUAGGCGGCCCGGGGAGAACGG
rnacentral:sRNA from 2 species